UACAGAGGUCUCGAGCGUUUGUUCGGAUUCAUUGGGCGUAAAGGGCGCGUAGGCGGCGGGGUAAGUCUGGUGUGAAAUCUCGGAGCUCAACUCCGAAAUUGCACUGGAUACUGCUCUGCUAGAGGGCUGGAGAGGAGAUCGGAAUUCACGGUGUAGCAGUGAAAUGCGUAGAUAUCGUGAGGAAGACCAGUGGCGGAAGGCGGAUCUCUGGACAGCUCCUGACGCUGAGGCGCGAAGGCUAGGGGAGCAAACGGG
rnacentral:rRNA from 1 species